AGGGGGCUGGCUUCUGCCAGAAGCUGUGGGUAGGGCCGUUCCAAUGUCUUGUGUUAUGUGUCAGUGGUACCUGUACUACUGAAGCUAAUUCAAGGAAACACAACCAAUGUGGAAGGCCUGAUAGAUGCAUACAUCAACAGGUCUGCUCUGAAAGUACUUGUUUCCUCCACCGACUACAAUGAAGGACUAAAAUGACUAGCCCAGAUGAAGACACCUAUUAGCAACAGUGAGUGG